CAAAGCAAAAUUAAUUUUGCCCCUUGUUUCCCAAUUCUGCUUCCCUUGUCUAGAUGGCACUUCUGUUGACCAUAAGACGGGAAGACGAGUAGAGAGGUUGGUGAGACCUGAGAGUUGACAGAUUAUCAAAGAGCAAGCCCAAAGCUACUCUAACUAACAUGUGUACUGUUGAGCGGUGGUAGGUAAUGAGUAGUAGCAGAUAAAACCCCACUCUGUAAAUGUGGAAGCUCCAUCUUCGACAUCUCUACUGCUUUCUUUCUUUAAGACCAAGAACCAUCAACUCCUCUCCACCGCCUAAUGCUCCAAAUCCAUUCUUCUUUGUCAUCCAUCUAAAACCUUAAUCUUUUUCUUAUUUUAAGCUACUCCCAUUUGUCUUUGCCCAAUUUCUUGCUUUGGAAUCAACUGACUUCGCUGAAUCAUUUAGGAAAAUGGCUCAAGAAGUGGUAAACCCAGAGGAGCAGGUUGUUCUUGGAGAAGAAAUAGGUAAAGUGAGGUUGAUCACAUUGAAUAGGCCGCGUCAGCUAAAUGUUAUUUCAUCCAAAGUGGUUUCUCUGCUAGCAGAUUUCUUGGAGAAAUGGGAGAAAGACGAAAAUGCAGAACUUAUAUUAAUCAAGGGUGCCGGUCGAGCAUUUUCUGCUGGUGGGGAUCUAAAAAUGUUUUAUGAUGGGAGGACGUCAAAGGAUUCUUGCCUUGAGGUGGUCUACAGAAUGUACUGGCUUUGUUAUCACAUCCACACAUAUAUGAAAACCCAGGUAAUAUUUUCAGGCAAAUUGCGUUCUCAUACUCUGACUUGGUGCAAUGGUAAGGUUGCUCCUUUGUGACCAGAACUUCAUGAUUCCAGAUCACAAGAACAGCCUCUCUGCUAAAACCAUGGGGAAGGUUACAAGCUAUAGAAAACCUUCCUCUGACCCCCCCAUUCCAUCCUGUGGCUUGUAUGCCUUCUAAGGCAUUUAUUAUCACAUUAUGAUUUUGCCAAAUUGCUGUUGAAGUAGAAACAUACUGAUGAAUGCCAAUAUUAUUAACAGGUUGCUCUUGUCCAUGGAAUUUCAAUGGGAGGCGGCGCAUCUUUUGUGGUCCCGAUGAAAUUUUCUGUUGUCACAGAGAAAACUGUGGGUAUUGGCUGCCUGUUUGGGUAUUUCUAGUCACAAAUAAGUUAGCGUAGUCUUUUUGGUCUUAAAGGUUUGGAAUUUAAAUCAGAAUUGGCAGACCAAUCUUUCUGGUGACUGUUAUGUAUGCAUAGGUUUUUGCAACUCCAGAAGCAAGUAUUGGAUUUCAUACUGAUUGCAGUUUCUCAUACAUUCUUUCCCAUCUCCCUGGGCAUUUGGGGGAAUACUUAGCUUUAACUGGAGCAAGGCUGAAUGGUAAGGAAUUGGUUGUUGCUGGCCUAGCCACUCACUUUGUCCCUUCUGAGAAACUGCCUGAGCUAGAGAAGCAUUUGAUAAGCUUGAACUCUGGUGAUGAGAAAGCAGUCAAAUCUGCGAUUGAAGAAUUCUCUAUGGAUGUUCAGCUUGAUGAAGAAAGUGUUUUAAACAAGCUUUCCAUAAUUGACGAGUGUUUUUCCAAGGAUACUGUGGUAGACAUCAUCAAAUCAUUUGAAGCUGAGGCAACUAAAGAAGGAAAUGGAUGGAUAGGAGCAAUACUGAAAGGGUUGAAAAGAUCUUCUCCUACAGGAUUGAAAAUCACACUCAAAUCGAUUCGUGAAGGACGGAAACAAACAAUUGCUGAAUGUCUUAAGAAAGAAUUCAGAAUAACAAUGAACAUACUUCGAACUGCAAUAUCUGCAGACGUCUAUGAGGGUAUUAGGGCUCUCACCAUUGACAAGGAUAAUGCACCUAAGUGGGACCCACCAACUUGGAACGAAGUGGAUGAUGAAAAAGUGGACCUUGUAUUUCAGCCAUUCAAAGAGGAUUUGGAGCUCCAAAUUCCUGGAAAAGAAGACUGCAGGUGGAGUGGCAAAUAUGAGAAUUCACCAUACGCAGCGUUAAGUUGACAGAAAAAAAUGAAUCUGAAAUGCCUGCUCAAAAUAAAUUCUAAACUCUGAGGACAUAUGCAUCACAAUGUGGAUCAUUUCAGGCAGUCUACUCCUGUAUUUCUGCUCUAUGUUUUUAAUUACUCAUGUAGGGGGUGGGGGAGUCAAAACUGGGUCUCCUAGGUUUAACAUAUAUGCAGCUACUAGCCCACUGCUGCUGCUUUAUGUGUCUUCUUGUAAUAAUAUUACUCAGACUCAACCAAAAUGUACGACUUUGGCGUGAUAUUUCAUCUUGAUAUUUAUGAUGAGUAUGAUUAUACUACUUCACCCUUGUAUGUGCUCUCACUUAGAAAGGCAGAAGCAGACAUGGCAAGAUAAUUGGAAUGAUCUUAAAAGCAUGUGGCCGUAAUUCAGGAGCCUAUUUUCUUCUUAUGGACGCCUGUGGGAAGACAUACCUUUAAUGUCUAAACCUAUUAUUACCAGCUAAUUCAAGCUCUAAGUUCCUCACGAGUCACUUCCUGCCAAGGCCCGUGUUUGAAGCUACUUGGAAGUGCAUAAUUCUUUCAAUCAGAUAUUUAUGAAAUAAAAUAUGGGCGAUUAAAAGAUCAAAGUUUUGAUUGUAGCCAGAGAUCAUGAGGGGAAGUUUUGAUGUCUGGGGCUGGAGUUAUUAACUGUUCCAUUCCUGCAGAUGAAGCGGAAGUUGAGGCUGUAAUUUUUGGUGUUCAUCGUGCUCUUGAUGCAGGCUUCGUAGACAUCCAGCUGGAGUCAGAUUGGUUGAUCUUGGUUAACCAUGUUCAGAACAAAACAGUCCCUAAUUUAUAUUUUGGAACAAGAAUUCAGCAGCCUUUGUUGGUUUCUUAGCUCUGCAGAUCCUUUUGUGGCUCCCACGUUUUCAGAGAGGCCAAUGAGUUGGCCCAUUCAUUAGCUAAAUUGGCUGUCUAUUGUUUCAGAAGAGUUAUUCUAUUGUUUCAGAAGAGUUAUUGUGGAUGGAAGAGGUUAGUAUUGCCAUCAGAGAUUCAUGAUUCUAUUGGGCUAAAAAGAUCAAUUUCACGGAAAACUAUAUACAGAACCGGUUACAUUAAUGAU
rnacentral:misc_RNA from 1 species